rnacentral:rRNA from 1 species
UACGUUCCCGGGCCUUGUACACACCGCCCGUCACACCAUGGGAGUUGGUUUUACCUGAAGACGGUGUUCUAACCCGAAAGGGAGGAAGCCGGCCACGGUAAGGUCAGCGACUGGGGUG